UUCGGUAUCCUGUGUUGCUUACCUAUCGAAAGGAAUCGGACGGUUUCGUUGGCCCCUCUCCGCCCUAUGCCCUCGCGGGUUGUGGGGUGGACGUCAGGCAGGCCUCGUGUUCCCGGCACGCUUCGUCCAGUUGCGUGGCUGCCUCGGCCCACGAGGUGCACUGCCCGUGCUCUCGGAUGCGGAACGUUAUGCGUGGGCGUGGGGUCUCUCGGCUCCGUUCGCCCUUCACAACGCAUUCGUCCCUCGAAACGAACGACGGUCGUGCCCGUCUCGAGCCCGCGGCCGUCCGGCCCGUCGGGUCUCGUGCGGGCGUCGACGUCKCGAAGGAAUGCUACCUGGUUGAUCCUGCCAGUAGUCAUAUGCUUGUCUC
rnacentral:misc_RNA from 1 species